rnacentral:tRNA from 1 species
GAAAUUUCAAAUUUAAGGCUGCUAACCUUAAACAAAUGGUCAAAUCCAUUAAAUUUCU